rnacentral:rRNA from 1 species
UCAGGACGAACGCUGGCGGCGUGCUUAACACAUGCAAGUCGAGCGGAAAGGCCCUUUCGGGGGUACUCGAGCGGCGAACGGGUGAGUAACACGUGAGUAAUCUGCCCUGCGCUCUGGGAUAGCCACCGGAAACGGUGAUUAAUACCGGAUAUGACUGCUACCCGCAUGGGUUGGUGGUGGAAAGUUUUUCGGCGCAGGAUGUGCUCGCGGCCUAUCAGCUUGUUGGUGAGGUAAUGGCUCACCAAGGCUUUGACGGGUAACCGGCCUGAGAGGGUGACCGGUCACACUGGGACUGAGACACGGCCCAGACUCCUACGGGAGGCAGCAGUGGGGAAUAUUGGACAAUGGGCGGAAGCCUGAUCCAGCAACGCCGCGUGAGGGAUGACGGCCUUCGGGUUGUAAACCUCUUUCAGUAUCGACGAAGCGACCUUUUGGGGAGUGACGGUAGUACAGAAGAAG